GCAAGACCAAAGUGGGGGACCUUCGGGCCUCAUGCCAUCAGAUGUGCCCAGAUGGGAUUAGCUAGUAGGUGGGGUAACGGCUCACCUAGGCGACGAUCCCUAGCUGGUCUGAGAGGAUGACCAGCCACACUGGAACUGAGACACGGUCCAGACUCCUACGGGAGGCAGCAGUGGGGAAUAUUGCACAAUGGGCGCAAGCCUGAUGCAGCCAUGCCGCGUGUGUGAAGAAGGCCUUCGGGUUGUAAAGCACUUUCAGCGGGGAGGAAGGCGAUAAGGUUAAUAACCUCAUCGAUUGACGUUACCCGCAGAAGAAGCACCGGCUAACUCCGUGCCAGCAGCCGCGGUAAUACGGAGGGUGCAAGCGU
rnacentral:rRNA from 1 species